rnacentral:misc_RNA from 1 species
GAUGAAGAACGUAGCGAAAUGCGAUACUUGGUGUGAAUUGCAGAAUCCCGUGAACCAUCGAGUCUUUGAACGCAAGUUGCGCCCGAAGCCAUUAGGCCGAGGGCACGCCUGCCUGGGCGUCACACGUCGUUGCCCCCCCAUCUACUCCUUCGGGAUUGCGGGGGGCGGAUGAUGGCCUCCCGUGCGCCUCGCCGCGCGGUUGGCAUAAAUGCCAAGUCCUCGGCGACGCACGCCACGACAAUCGGUGGUUGCGAAACCUCGGUUGCCCGUCGUGUGCGGUCGACGCGCAUCGAGGGCUCGAAAAAAUUGCCGGGUUCCGGCUCGGCUUUCAACGCGACCCCAGGUCAGGCGGGGUUACCCGCUGAAUUUAAGCAUAUCAAUAAGCGGAGGA